UUCAAAUGAACAAAUAGGGACACUUUAAUCUAGGGGUGUGAGUGGAGCUGUUUUGAGAAAUGUUGAGGUGACUUACUAAUAACAAUGCAUUAUUGUGUGUGUGUGUGUGUGUGUGUGUGUGUGUGCGUGCGUUCGUGAUCCAUUGUGGAU